UUUUUUUUUUUUUUUGGUCCUUAACCAGUCGAUUAAAACGGGCGUAAAACUCAAUUCUUGAGAUGUUGAUUAUUCUUUCAUUUCUUUGACAAUUUGGGAGGAGGUAUAGUAUUAGGAUAAAUUCGAAGUCCUUGAGUCCUAACAUCUUACGCUUUAAAAGCAAUGAUUCAUGUCAAAUGUUGUGACUAACUAUGAACACAAUCCAUUUAGGAAAUUUUGUUUGAAUUUGUUGAAACAAAACAAACAAGAUGUAAGCAUGUUUGGUCGCAAAAUAAGCAUGUAUGGUCACAAUUCAUUUUAAAAUUUUUAUUUUAUUUUUAAUUUUUGGGUCAGAGAAGAUAUAUAAUGCAAUGUUGUACUAUUAGGACUAAAUAGCCGAUGAGCAAGUAAUUUAGACUUAAAUACAUGAUGGGAUAAGCUUUUAUUAGGCAAGAACAAAGUAAAUAACAUAUAAUUCCAUGUCUCUUUGUAGCAACGUGCAAAAAGAUGAUGACCCCUAAACAAUAAUUACAAAAGCUCCAACUUCAUGACAUCAAACUAGUUCCCAAUUUAAAUAAAUGUGAUUUUCAUGUCAUUGAUCGAUGAUGUGAAGUAGUGUCAAACUUCUUCUUCUUCUUCUUCUUCUUCUUUUUUUUAAAAUUUGUUUGUGGGUUUGUUUAAUGAGAGUCUAGCUUUUUAGAAAAUUAAAACAAUGAUUGUAUCUUUCUUAAUUUAUCAAUUUUUUGGCAUUUUAAAAUAUUACUAGCAAAGCUAGCAAUAAUCUAAAUUGAUGGCUAAAGCCUACUCGGACGACAUAAUUUUGUGGUGGUUUUGAUUGCUGAGCGUUCUAAAUUUGUCUCUUCCGUACUUGGGCAGAGAGAUAGGUUUAUCCAAAUCAAAUUUAUGGGAAGCUGGGCUUAUUGAAAAUUCACAUGCUUACACAUUACUUGACUGUGUUAUAUAUCGUUCCUAAAUUCAUAGAGAAAUUGCAUUUCGGUCUCUAGGCUGUUUUGCAGUUAAUCUAUUUUGGUUAUAGGCGUGGAGACGAUUUAAUUUGACAGGAAUCUUAGUCAUUGAUGGCUUAUAUAGUUCAAUGAUUUCCUGAUUAAUCAGAUACAGAGAUGAAUUUGAAAAUCAGGAACUGAUUAAUCCUAUGGGUUCACUUUGCAAUUCUUACUUUGAUUUACCAUUUAUCCUGCAAACUUGUUGAUAACGACUGCUAUGCAACUGUAGUUUGGCCAAGUUGCUUGAAGUGAUAGGAUCUUCUUAAAGCAGGUAACUUAGGUUUAAUCCGGCUCCCUUGGUAUCAAGGAGAAAAUUGGUUGUGUUGGUAGGUUGUUGCAGUACAAACUUGGGACACCUUCAGCAUUUGUAGGAGAAACUUGAAACUUCUCAUUCAGGGACAAUUUCUGAAAACUUCAGCAUUUGUAGUUAUUGUAUUCCAAUUGAGUUGGCAAACCUCCAUUUGUCCUCGAACAAAUUCCAUCAGUAAAGUUCUACUACUGGUAAAUUGAGACACCUGAUAGUUAGUCUUCUUAAUAUGCUUCCACAAAAUCCAUAAUCUUGUCAGUCUUGGCCCCUAAUGAUUGGUUGAAGGCUUAAUUUAUAAUUAGUUUGAUAAACCUUUCUUAGUGCAUGGUAGGCUGCGUAGGACAGCUCGCAGUGUUUAGACAACCUGAUGUGACCCAAAUUGUUGAUUGAUUCUGCACUUUCUUAAUACAAAAUCAGUCUUCGCUUCCAAGAUAAGAUGUUGCGAAUCUCGUUUGAUUAAUUCAGGAGGAGUCUGUUAAGUUUUGUAUCAACUGCAAUUAAUCUUUUCUUAAACUAAUGCAAGUCCAAAAGGACUUUGGAAUCGAAUAACAUGACAUGAAGAUGCAAAUCGUAGGGCGCUAGGGGUAGGAUAAAUUCCAGGCUUCCAGCGUCAAUAAAGUGCAAUGAUGCAAAGACUUGGCAUAGUUUACAAGCAUACGCACGGUAACAAGCAUGGAUGGUUGCAUACUGAAAAAUUAGGUGAUGCAAAUCAAAGACACCAGAGCCAAUUUAAUACUCAGAACCUACAAGCUGAUACAAGUCAAUCUUUAUGCUAAUACCUGCAGCUUAAACCUGCAUGAUUCUUUAUAUUAACUUCUCUGAAUUAUUGAGAGGGAUGGGAUUCUAUAAACCAUUAGUCCUGCACGAAUGACAAGCGCUAGAAGCUGGUUGAUUUGAAAUGACAUUAUUGUGGGUAAAGUAGUCCUAAUAUGAAGGCGUCAUAGGUAGUUGAUGUGAUAACUUUACUACUUCAAACAAGACAUAUGACCAAUAGGUCUCGAAUUCGAGUCUCUGCUCUGCUGGGUUCUUCCGCGCACUUGACGUGCUUGGGUCGGGUUGGGGCCAGGCCGCAGGGAUUAGUCGAGCCCCAUAAAAAUUGACCCGAACACUCCUGUGUCGACAAAAAAAAAUCAAACAAAGACAUAUAUUAUAGGGUGGGGGAGACAAAUCUACUUUGGGUUCCCCCAGUUUCCUGUUAAAAGAGUACUGGACUUCAGGAUGGCUUCAUGUUAGUCAAUCUAAUUAACAGAAAGCCAUCAACUCAUGAGAAGAUUGGCACUUUUCAAAAUGCUCAUCUUUCCUUUUAUGAUUUACAUCGAACUUUGCAGUAUAUGCUUACACUUGUAAUUCAGUAAUUAGAUUCGCUUCUUUGUUUGUAGAAAUGACAAUCCCUUCUUUCGCUUUUCUUCUCUUUGUCGUUUGCGUCAAGUCAUUGCAGUGGGCAUCCGGUCCAUUUCAAGAAGUCUGGUCGAUCAGCUGCGUUUAAUCACUUACUGUGGAGCUACACAUGAAUUAUAUACACAUAUGAAUGUAUGUAUAUUCCCGUUGAAGACAUUUAAAUCACACUUCUUAAGUUCCAAUCUUUACAAAAAUCUGAUCAACUUUAAAAUUCUAUCAAUUCAAGGGUUUAGUUCCUCGGAAGAAACUGUUUGCAUAUGUUACCCUUGCUUUAAAUGAAAUGGCGACCGUGCGUAUGUGUUUGGAUUGAAGAUUAUUUCACUUUAUUUACACCUUAUUUGCACAUACUAAUUUGAUUGCAUCAUUAACACAUUUUUCAAUCACCUUUUUAUCUCACAUACAUCAUAUCAAAACUAUUGUUACAGUAAAAAUAUUUCAAAUAAUUUAUAAUCCAAACACGCCAUCGAAUGAGACUUGUCAAAAUGACGAACUUUCUCCUCUGAACAUCAAUUAAAUGUAAUUUACGUAAAAGGGCUAAUUACCGGCACGCUCGAUUUGUGAUUCUUCUUAUUCUUCUCUCUCUUUUUCAAAAUCUCUCCAAAUUAUUUCAGAAGAUAUCUUUUUUCUUAACUUUUCUCAUUAAAAUUAUUUUUCUCUUCUUCUCUUUUCUUUCCUUUUCUGAAGUCCAAGAUUAGGCUUCUAGGCCAUAGAAGUUUUCUAAUGCAUGACCUGUGACUAUUCAGUAUUUUCAAAUUAAUUGUCAGCCGGCGGCAAGUGAGAGACUUGGUUAAUUUGUAGGUCCACCGAAGGGUUGGCUGAUUUAGAUCUAGAAGUUUGAACUGGUGGUUGGCUUUCCACAGCGUUCAUGGUUAAAUAAAUAUUGGGGGACGUAAGCAACAAUUAAAAUUACCGUGGAAUUUGAUCAAGCAACCCCUCCCUUACACACUAACUUUUAUUAAUAAUCAAAGCGAGCAGUUUUCACUAGUAGUUCAAGAUACAUCCUGAAUGGAAAACCCAAAAGGUUUAGGUGAUUAAUUAGUCUAUUAGUUCACUUAUAAUCGAAAUAAUGAGAGAUAAAUGCUACUCCCUCUGUCUCAUUUUGAUAGUUCAAGCUUUUUUUUCACACAGUUUAAGAAAAAGUAAUUAACUUUGUUGGAAAAAUAAAUUUAGAUUGCUAUUUUUCUAAAAUACCUUUACACUAAAUAGAGUACAACUUUAUAUUAAUUAUUCAUGGAAACUUGAAUGGAUGGUUUUUGAGAAUUUGAAUUGAUGAUCAAGAAAGAAUCAAUGCUUAUCUUACAUUAAAUGGGGUAGGUUAUAUUCAAUAACAAUCUAUAUUAAAUAAGAUAGUUUAUACUAAUAACAACCUAUAUUGAAUAAGAGUAUUUUAGAAAAAUUAAAAGAUAACUACAUUUUUCAAUUGGAAAGUGGAGCAAUAUGUAAGCUAUCCUCUGUGAUUGCACCUCAACUUCGCAAAUCUAAUUUGAGUUUUUGGAAAAAAAAUUUGAAUUAUCAAUGAUUGAAGUGGUCUAGUGUCACAAUCAGACAGCUGCUAAUUAGCCCUCAAACAAGUUGAGUUUUGUUAAAGUACCAAAUGAGUACAAAAUACUAGUGGAUUAUAGGGAUCAUACUACUAAAAUGGAUGAGGAUGAGGUGUGGAAUAGACUUCAACGUGCAACUAGUGGAAUUUGUAUAAUCAAUGGCAAGAGCUGACUUAUCCCAAAAGAAUCAAAAUAUGAAUCUUAGGGAGCAUCAUGAAUCAAGGAUGCAACUGCAGGAGCAUUCUAGUCCACGGCCGGUGAACAAUCCAUUGAAAAGGAAAGUUCAAUUUGCACUUUAUGAGCUAGCACUGCUGGUCAAAGCAGCCAAUAUGGCUGGCUGGCAUUGACAGCUGAAUUAAAGACCAAAAUUAGGAUACUUGCCAGAUUCAUCUUGCAUGCCAUGAUCGGAUUAGUAAGAGAAAAUCAACUUGUCCAAGAAUACCAAGUCUAAAUUAUUGAGUUCAAGAAACCAAGGCUUUGUUGGUUCCUAUGUUAUUGCGUGUGACUAUUAUCGAAUACUUUUAGCUAAACAUGCAUGACGUUCUAAUCGUGCAAACAUCAAAUCAUCUGCAUGUACGCAUAUGUAAAGAUGCACAAGUUUUAGCACUACAGGUGUGAGAUCAAAUUCUAUUUUGCUCAAAUACAAUUAUGGCUCAAUGAGCAGAUUGUAAAAUGUCUCCUUUUUUUCUUUAUCAAAUAUAGAUAAUUUUUUUUUUUUACUGUGUUACCCAUUUCCAUUAAAUAGAAGCAUCACGAAUCAAAGCUAAUCAUAGUUGAAAACUUGAAAUAACAUGCAAGAGUUUGGUAGCAUUUACCAACCAGAUGCGCAGUAUAUCUUCGCAAAAUAUUCUAUUCAUAUAUCAAAUUAUUCGAUUUGGGCACCAUAAAUGAACAGUAAGAUAAAUGUCUGUGGAAACGUGAUUUCCAUGGCUGACAAGGUCUUCCAUUCAACUCCAAAUUAAUCUUGUUACUUCUGGUUUCUUUUUCUUUUGGAUUGGAAGGAGGUGGUCAAGCACAAUCUAUUUGUGUCACUGUGAUCAUUACCUCGCUUUUUUUUUUUUGGAGUUUUUUUUUACUUAAAAUAAGAUUACAAAAAAUUAACACGCGAGAGCAAUCAUAGCUUGACAACAUACGAGCAAAUUUUGAGAUGAAUACCGAUAUAUUUAUUGUUAGAAGAAACCAUUGUGAAACUUAAACUCAUAAUUUCGACGACUAUGAUUAUUAGUAUUAGAUUAAGGUCUCUUCCACCCACUGAAUCAACAGUUAAAUACGGUAGGUAAAUAAUGAGGCAACUUUGAUUUCCUUUCUUAUCUUUAUUGUAACUGGGAAGGAAUGGUACAAAUAUUAUUAAUUAGUAUAAUGGUUUAUCGUAACGAGUGAGACCACGGUGAUUGCAAAAGGAUAUAUAGUUUUCUAAAGAAGCCAAAAUAGUAUAAAAUUAACGGAAGAAAUGUUCAAAGAAUUAUUAUGUGAUUCAAAACAUAUAAAAGGUUAGUACCGCAGUGACUGUACAACAAUCUAUGAGGAGGAGGUUUUUUUUUUUUUUUUGUCGACACAGAGGUAUCCUGUAAUCAUCCAAACUAAUCUCUUGUGGCUGAGCAGAGUCCGUCCCUUAAGAUGCCCGCGUUAAUUCAGUGAGAGUCGAACCGUGAUCGAUGCUGUAAAGACAGACGACACGACCAGGUGAGCUGCACCCGAGGGGCCUAUGAGGAGGAGGUUGGAUAUUAGUUUUUUUAAGCAAUUCCGAAUUGCACCUCUUGAUAGAAUGGCAUCCCCUUGUAAUUGAAUAGUAAGAAAAAUUGAAUAGCAUAGAAUUGUAACGUCUACCCCACAUCAAAUAUUUCGAGUCUAGAUAAUACUACUAGAAACUUGCACCAAUAAAAGGGACAAAAGAAAAAAAUAAUAAAAGAAGUAGUAGUUGGUAUAUGGCAACUCGUAAGACGAAAUCCAGACCAUAUAAAAACUUCUGGGCUACCCAUGUCAUUCUUGAUAAUCCAAGGACGGACAGAAUAAAUUAUUAGCACUAAAAAAAUGGCCACCGAAUGCUUCAUGCUUCCAAGUUUCCAACAUUUUAUAAACAUCUAGCCAGUGACCCGUGCCUGCUUAUGUGAAUAGCUGAAUCCCUGAGGGGAACUUAUAUAUAAUUGCAUCUUGAGAUUGAUAUCUUGGAUGCGUUGUCAACAAUAUUGACCAUUGAAGAAAGAAUUUACACUAAAAAAAAAAAAAAAGUGAUCAAUUUGCUUGAAAAAGAAGAAGAGGAUAAGAAAUUCCAACCUUUACUUUUGCUGUUGGUAAGAAAACAAAUUCAAAAAGAAAGAUGAAGAGUGAAGAAGGGUAACAGCUAACGGAGGAAAAGACAACAAAUUGGUAUGGUACCAAGCAAAGUAAAAAAAAUAAAAUGAAAUUAAAAAAAAACGUCACUUUUUCCAAGACAAAUUAUGGUUGCUUACUAGUUCAAAGCAUUUUUUUUUUUUCCAGUUAGAUUCAUUCUUUACUUUAAACAUAAAUAAAAACCUUUCUUUGCCUUACUGCUCCUUCCCCUUGGAAACUUUCCAUUUGGAUUUCUUUAGCUCUGAUUUCUUUCUAUAUAUUUUUCUUUCCAUAUCAAAGCCAGUUCAACACAGGAAGAACUGAGAAGUUUCUCAUUCUUUCUCUUAACGCGUACAUAAUUUUUUUCUACCCCUCUUCUAGACUCCGGACACCUUCUCCGUUUUCUUGUCAGAUUUAGUUUUUAGGUUCAAUCUUAUUGGUCUCUGAUUUAAGCAUCAGCAAGUUUUGAAUCCCUUUUGUUCUGUUCUUAUAGAUUUGUUGGAUUUUCGUGAAUUGAUUCUUUGUUAGUGAUUUUUGGCUAGAGUGCUGUGAAUCUUGACUUGGGUUCUGGCAAAAUUUGGUCAAAUUCCUCAGGCCUCUUUGGGAGUGCUAUUUCUGAUUGAAAACAAUAAUAAACGAGCUGGUCCAUUUUGGCCUUUUAUGAAAUCUGAAAUCUGAGUUUUGUUAAGGGGUGAACGCUUCAGUCUUGAUUUGGUUUUUUGGUAAAAGCAAGAAAGAUUGUUGCUUUUUCAUCCUUUUGUGGAGUUGGAGGUGAUUUGAGUUUGUGGACUCGAGGAACUUGAGGUUGGUUUAAUGUGUUGAGGUUGUUCCAUGGCUGUGGAAGAUUUGGUUGAGAUCAAAUUCAGGCUUGCUGAUGGUAGUGACAUUGGACCAAGCAAGUUCAGUCCUUCUACAACUGUGUCAUCUCUAAAGGAAAAGAUAAUUGCUUUAUGGCCCAAAGGUUAUAAUUUACUGAAAUCUACACAAAAUUAAGUGCUAAUUUUGCUGUAUUUCAUGUUCCAAAUCUUUUGUUUAUUUAUACUUUGAUGUUUUGUAUUGGGUUCUAUCUAAGCUAUGGAAUUUUGUUUAUCCUUUUGUACAUAUAUCCUUUUGUAGAUAUAUAUCGUAGUUGAUUUUGCUAUCUUCAAAAUCUGGUGUUGUUUUUGUGUACGUCGCUGUCAUGGUUUUCCAUUUUGACAUGUUUGUAAGACGUUUCUCUGAUGAAGGAUUUCAUUAUGUGAUUCUCCCUAUUUUUUGUUCUUUGGCUUGUUUAAUCUUGUUCCUAUUGAGAUUUCUGCCUGUAACUAUCCAUGGUAUGACAUCCAUGUUCGUUUCAUAACCUAGUUAAGCUAAAUUCUCCAAAUCUUUUCAUACAUUAUCUGCAUUUUCGGCUUUCUCGUCUGACUUAAAACUUUACUGAUUUAUCCUCCUAGCUGCAAAUCACUUGGCCUCAGGCACAGGCAGACGCACACAAAAGGAAAUAUAGACAUACAACAAAAAUGAGUGGCAGUGGAGGGGUGGCAGGUUUAGCCAAGCGUCUUAAGUUGAAGAGAGCCACAAAUAAAUGGAAACUCAGGCUAUCUCACCUUUCCUUCAGCCACUGAAAUUACUCUAUCAUCUUCAGUACUGUACUUCCCAAAUCCAUGUUAGACAAGAAGUGAUAUUUAAGUACCUGAAAUUCCUUCACUUAAUAAAACCUGAAAGCAGAUAUUUGAAGUUGUAGACUUCAUCUUCAGUGGUCCUGCUAACCUGCCGCUUAAAAUUCUCUCUCUUAUUUCAACUAAAAUCUGAAGAACAAGGUCUUCCAUAGCAAGAUAUUGCUGUGCUAGAUUCAUAAGGAAACUUUACAAACUUUUUUUUUUUGUGGGAUAGCUUAUCAUGUUAUCGUGAUAUGUGCUAAAAGUGAUCAUAUGGUUUCACAGAAAUUUGUCUAUUUCACACUGUUAUGGACGAUGGAACAUGUCAGCUAAAUGUGAAAUCUGGCAUUUUAGCCAACAUUCAUAACCUUGUCUUCUCUUCAGCCAUAUAAUUAUUGCUUUUGAAGAUGUUAUCCCUGCCGUAUAUGUAAUCUGCAUUAUAUUAUAUGAGGUGUUAUUGUACACUCUUUUGUUUCCUGCUUCUCUCUUAUUCAAGAUUCAUCAAGAAUCAAAGCUCAUAUGGCAGCUUCCAGUUAAAGUUUAAGAAAAAGUCUUGGUUGAAAGGUAUAUGUAGGAUUAUGUCCAUCAAUUAAUACCUUUUGGUUUUCAUUUUACCCGUGUUCUCUUUCAUGUGUAAAAAGCUGAAGAUAAAGUUCAUUCUCCACCAAGGGUGUGUGGAAGGACACUCCUGUUGUCCAUUCGGUAUUUACGUUAGAAGUAAGAGAAGGGCAUUUAAAUUUGGCUCUAUGCUUCUUGCAAAAAUUGUUUCAGGGUGUUGACAUUUUUGUUCUCUGCUUUGUACUGUUAUGUGAAUGAUUAUCCAUCCAAUGACUGUUAAAUUGACUGUAUUGUUAGAUUAUAUUGAAGGUUGGACUGAAUUUAACAAUUUUUAGUUGAAUUUAGUGAGAUUUCGUGCAGAAGGAGAGUAAUAUCAUAAUUCAUGUAAUGAUUUUGUGCCUUUAGUGUAAGGCUUCUGUUUCUGCAGCAGGAAGUCUAAGCAAUGUUCAUUUGAGUUAUAUGAUGAUAUUUUUAGGCUUAAGUCUUAAGAUUUGAUAACUACUAAAUUUUCAGCUGCAAUUUUCAUCCUCAUAGAUGUUUCGUAUUGCAGACAAAGAAAAUGGACCAAAGACCACAAAUGAUUUGAAGCUUAUUAAUGCUGGAAGGAUACUGGAAAACAACAAAACACUUGCAGAAUCUAGACUUCCAGUUGCUGAAGUCCCUGGCAGUGUCAUCACCAUGCAUGUUGUUGUCCGUCCUCCUUUAGCUGAGAAAAACACUGGUAAUUCAAUCGAUUAUGUUGAUAUCUGCUGGCCUCUAUCAAGUUUAUAGGCAUAUAGAUUUUUCUUCCUUUCUCUAUUUUCUUGUUGGAGACUACUGAAAGCCAUAUAAUUUAGCAGAGCAUAAACCAUACAAUAUGCUAAACUGAAACCGUAGACUAUUACCUUGAUGGAAAUGGAUGCAAAGGUUGAGAACCGAUACAUCUUCGGCUUGUGUUUCAAUGACGGGUAAGGCAGUCAAGUUACCUGCGCCUGUCUGGUCCGAUCAUUUAGCCCAGAAUGCACUAGACCAUCAUGUUUUGCCCUUCCCCUUCUUCUCAACUAACAUGCUGGCCUUUUUUUUUUUUUUUGGAGAUCCGUUUUCUCCUUUUGUCUCUUUUCUCAUCUCUUCUAAGCUUUAUGUUCUCUCAGUUUGAAGUUUAUAGCUGCAUUCUUAAACUUUCUUUGUUUUAUUGGGACAUAUCACAUUGUAAUACUUAAAAGUAGUUGCAGUUUGUUGGCCAUUCUUAUACCAGUUGCAAGAUUACUUUUCCAUGUGGACCGUCAUUUGCUCCAAAGUAGAAUCAUUAAAUGCAAAAAAUUUGCUGCAUUUCUGAACGACUUUGAACAAUGUAAUCACAAAACUUAACUCUUAGGGUACCUUUCUGGAAAAUAAAAUUUUGCUCAGAGCUACUGGCACGAUGGACAAACAAUUUCUCUUUCCUUGAGGAAGUGGGGAAUCUGCUGAUCUUGCUUGAUUCCAUUUCUUAAGCAAGAAUUUUCGUAUAUUUAUUGUUUUCAGUUAACAUGGAAGUAGCUAUAAUGCAGUCGCAUUCAUUUGCAUUGCAAGGUAUUUCUUUGAGCAUCCUUUACCUAGAGAGCAAAAAAGAAACGAUGCUUAAUGGAUCUUAGCCAAAUAACUGACAUGAGAUAUACCUCCGCAGAUAAACUGCAGGAUGAUAACCCAAAGAAAGGCGGGUGUGGAUGCACAAUUCUGUAAUCCAUCGGACCGGAUAAGGAUCUUUUCAGUUACAUUUUAGUAGCUCCAUAAGUUUCCACUUCUACAGGUGCCAAGUCAUAUUUGAGAUAUUUGGGGUGUUCCUGCAAGAUUCCAAGACCAGCUUAAGAGUUGUAUGGAGGACUGCAAUUAUGGUUAUGGAUUCUCAUGUCGACCUUGUUACUGCCAAUGUUGGCGUUCCUUGCAUUUACACAAGCAGCACAUUAGACAAGAAAGUUAUCGCUCUAUUGGAGUGGAUACUCGUGAAUCAGGAUAUAUAAUAGUGUUUUGGAGCCCAAAAAAAAAAGUAAGAAAAAAUUGAAAAGGAAACAGAUUAUAGGAGGGAAAAAAAUUAUUGAAUGACUUACUUAGUUUGCUUGCUUUGAUUUGGUUUGGAAUUUUUUUGUUUCAAAAGAUUUUUUAAAAUUGUUAAACAGAUCUUGAAGCAUUUCAGCACUUUAACCUCGCUCGGUCUACAAUUUGUUUUCCUUGAACUCUUUUGUUUGGGAAAAUGGAGCAUAAAUCAACAGAAAAAUACAAAAGACUGGUUUAUCAGCCUUAGCUGUGAUUGACGGAGAUGGAGAUGGUUGGAUUGGACGGCAGGAUGGUAAAAUAGAAGGGAUGAUAAAUAGGAGAUGAUGCUGGGUGCAAGACGUUCCAUUUAUUCACCCAAAAAACCCUCAGCUGUGAUUUGUUUUUCCCCUCCUUCAAAAAUGUAGUGUUUAGCAAGACUUGCUCAUGCUGAUGAAGCUUCUACUUUAGUGGGUUGGGAAUUGGGAUUUGCUGCUCUCAUUAUUAGUCUGUGAAAAUUGUUCAAGAUUCAUAAAGACGAAAGAGAACAAAUAGUUUUUAGCUUUUCCUCUUUGUACCUUUUUGACCGGUUGAUUUUGACGAAAAAGAGCAAGGGAGAAUAAAAUUGGAGGGGGAAGAAAAAGAAAGGAAAGGGGAGGGGGCAUACAAUUGGAGAAGACAAUUUUGGUGUGCAAAGACUUUAAUUUCAUUAAGGGUACUGUAAAAGAGAAAUGUAGUAAUUUACUAUACAUAAGAAAUUACGAUUUGUUUGUAAGUUACAAAGUACAGAAAAAGGUGGAGCGAAGAGAAAUACCUAGCAUUACAGAAAUCUACACCUGUAAUUUAAGCCGGACAAAAUUUGAUUACAAGUGUUUAUGUACACAAAACAACAAUGCUAUUUGGCUUCUCGUUGCCACCUACUGUCUGAACUUAUUCUCCAGGGAAACUCACAAGGAAAGCUUUCUGGUUUUCACAAACAUACAUCUUCAAGGCACUUGAAGCAAUGAUAUACACCUGUUCUUAGGAAGAAAGAUCAGCGUUAAGGGCUGAUGAAGAUCGAUUUGGGUGCAUCAGUCUUCUGGAUGCCCGCAUGUUCUUGAGUGUCAUCUUGAGUUUCUGCCUAUCACCCUCAACCUCAGCAAACUGAAGGCUCAGUUGGGAGUAACGUUCAUGCAUUUCUUUCAAUUCAGACUCCACAGCUGCAUAUCUUCCUUUUACUUCCAACAUUUCUUGAAUCAACUCAUUGAUGUCUCUGAAGCUCUUUAGAACAGCUUCUUCAUCACUGUGUUGCUUUAGGAAGGAACUAUAAUAUAUAGGCAAAGCAAAGCAAUUAGAACAAUAUAAUGGACCUUUCUACAUCACAACAACAAUAAAGGUAGGUUACUACGAAAAGGCAUGAGGACCUUUAAAUGUAACUCAUGGUAUGUGAGCCCCUAGGCUUUGUUAGGUAGUUAAGUUCACAUGAAAAUAUGCUACCAAGACGCAGACACUCACACAGAGGGAGAGUGCUUAGCCAAUGCCUUAACUGAUGUAUACAUAUGUAAAUCUUCUCGGUAGCAAUAUAUUUAUAUGCACAUUGAUUUACAAUGUCAUGACGUGCAUGCUCCUUUAUGAUUCUGAUAAUUCAUCGACUACAGAAGCAAAAUGUCUAUGCAUUUGUGUGUAUUCUCCCUGAAAAACGUAUUGAGGAUUGGUUUAGUCUAAGGCACAUGUUAGAGAAGUGCCCAGAGGAAAUAUUCACCUAUCCUCUAAUGUUGAUUAAUUUUCAGUGACCACCACACGCCUGAGUACAAGUGGAUGAAACAUUACCCCUAUGCCAUCUAGACAAAGAAGUUAAAACUGACCUAUGUUUUUAGUAGGUAGUGACUACAUUCGAAUUAUAAAAUAGAACUUUGCCUCACAAAAUGGUGUUGCUUUACAUCUGAAUGAGAAUGACAAGCUUGGAUUUGAGAAAAGAUGCAUACUAGUAACUACUGCAUUAUGACAAAUAUGGGCCCCAAGAGACAGAAAAGGCUUGCAGUUCAAGUUAUAGACAGUUUAGAUAAUAACUAGAAUGUGCAUUUAUAUACCAACCUUAGCUGAUAUGCACUCUGCAGCUUAGCUUAAUCACAUAGCUAAAAAGAGAGCCUAAAAGCAGCCACCACAACGCACAUUGCCAUAUGAAUGCAUUUUCAGAGGAAAACUAUUUUCUUGUUCCUUUUUCCAUAAUUAAGAAGAACAAACGUGCUAGUUAGAUCAAGCAAGUCUUUCAGAAACCUACCUUUGGAAAUGACUCUUGGAUUGAUGCUUUGCCCUCAAUGCUUCGGCAAGCUCCAUCUCCAAUGCAAGCACCCUUUCCAAUGCAUUACCAGUAUUUGAAAUUUCAUUGUACAAGGGGAAUAUGCUUCUGAGUUCUUCAUUGGCCUUUGCAAAAGAAAGAUAACAGAGCAACAAAUUACUAAUCAAAAGAAUAUUUAACUGUUUUGUGAAAGCAGUCAAUUCACCUUCAGAACAAUAUUCAAGAAAAAGUAGAGAAGAUAAUAACCUUGUCCAAACACAUAAGCUCACUCCGUAAAUUUUGGCAAUCUGAGUCAAUAUGGAGAUCAUUGGUAAAGAGGGAAUUCUCAUUUUUCAUCCUUUCGAGCUGCAAGCAACAAAAAGAAGUCAUGCCAGUUACUAUGAUAAAAAUCCUGACUUGUACUCUUCCAGAAUGAGUACGAGAUUCAUGAAUUGAAAUUAAAAGUCUUGCCUGUUCAUGUAGGUGGUUAAUGCUGGACUGCAAGCUAUCAGUACAAAGAUAAUAGCUGUUUUGCUUUACAUGGCUUUGCUGCAACUCUCUUUCAAGAAGUGCAUGUCUAGGAGUUUCAUGCAUGACUUUAUAUACAGCAUCAUCCUGGAUGACCCAUACAAACUUGCUCAAAGACCAGAAAAUAUAAUGCAUGAACUUGAGGAUGAAAAUAGCUACUUUGGAUCAGUAUAUGUUCUGGUUCUAGAACUACAAUGAUUAAGUGGGGCAAAAUAAUUGUACUACAAUAAGUUAAAAAUGGAUUCACUCUACAACAACAAUAACGGAGGCAUACUUAAAAUUUUGUGACCUAAAGAUCCAUCACCGGAAUAAAAGACCAUGCACAAUUCUAAAUGACAGAGAAAAGUUUCAAUGCACAAAUAUCACUAUCUAAAUUCUUUGCUGUACGCUGCACAUAAAUGGCAUCUACAAGAAAAGGUAUCAAGUUAGUAACUAUCAGUGUGAGCCUGAGAUUGACUAAUUUCACUUAUAACCAACUGAAUAACCAUGACCAUACAUAAUCAGCGAUCAUACCAAACGUGCAAUUCAUUGGAGUACUCAUAAGAGAUAUGCUAGCAGCAGAAUCGGUUUUUGAUCAGGAUUACAAGUAGUUGUCAUCAGUCUAAAAACGCCCAGUUCAAAAUUAUGUAAUUCUGAAAGGCAUUUAAUAAGUCCAUAAAUAAUGCCAAGAGUUAAAAUUUGCAGCAAAAGAUCAUGAACUUGGAAAAUAUUCUCAUAAUAGUACCAAGGUUUAAUCAAUGAACAAUAAUUAGGUCAUGACAUAUCAGAAUAUAGCAGUGGGAAGCAAAACAGAGGCACAAAGGAGGGGGCGGUGGAGCUGUGAGCAUGAAGAAUAUGAUGAUCACACCAACAACCCACAAAUGGUUCAGGAUGAAUCUGAAAUCUCAGAACUGAAUCUCAACAAUAUACAAAAACACCAUUCAAUAUGUCCAAAGGAAGAAAUGAAAAGUAAUUUAGCAAAACCACAGAAAGGGGAAAAUGAGCUGCGUAAUCCUUGUCUGGACUUCUAAAGAUUUUUGUGACAUCAUUAGUCUUCAUUCACAUAGCAUGUAUCAUGAAAAACAUGUGCUCAGCUGCUGAAAAUCAGUUGCUGCCAUGUUUUAUACAUAAAAGUUAUUUUGGAACUCAUCUGCAUUAGAUUUCUGCUUUCAGCAUAUCUUAAGCACAAAAAGGCUGACAUAAGCAGUCCUUCAAACUUUAGAAAACACAUUCUGGUUUUUCUAGCAUUCCAAAACAAAGACAUAACUUCAUAGUCAUAAACAGCUUUUUCAAGCUUACUUUUCUUUAGGCAGCAUGUAACAAAGCUGGAUGAAACGACAACGAGACCAUUGGCAGACAAAUGUCUAUCUUUUUCUACAAAGGAAGUCGGUGCAAAAAUAGUUUGAGGAUAUUUCAGCCAGCGAUUUUGUAUGACAUUUGCCAACAAAAAAUUAUGCAGGACAAUGAUAUCAAGGUGUUCAUGCAGUAUUAAUUGGGCAAGUAUUAUGCCCUUCUACAUGAAAGCAAUUCUAAUAUUACAAGCACUGUAACUAAAUCGAUCAGUCAGAAAUUACCUUGAGGAUUUGUGCAUUUAGAGCCAAAUUCGAAUCUUCAGUUUCACAAACUACAAUUGUGUUUGCAUCUUCUACCUGUUCCCCAUCAAUCAAAUUAUCAGGGUCAACAGCAUUAGGAAAACAAUUUCCAGUUGACUCAUCAAGCAAAAGCUGCACUUUAUCUACUCCUUCAGUUUCUUCCUUACAAGUAACUACAGAAAAUGCGACAUUCUCCGGUUUUCCUUUUGUCAAUGAAAGUUCAGCAGCAACACUUGACUUCUCCUUCUCACAUUCAUGCAUAGACAUCAGAAGUUUUUCCUUUUCUUCUUUGCAACAUUCAAGACUUAGUAGUGCACAUUCCAACUCUGCCUUCAUUCGGUCACAGGCCUUGAGUUUUUCACGGUUGUCAGAAAGUACGGACUGCAAUUCAGCGUCAAGUGCCAAAAGUUUGAGUGCCAGUUCUUCAUUUCUUUUGGAGUGCAAAGCUUCUGACCUUUUCCUGCUUUCAAUCUCAUCCACAGCAUCUUGUAAUUUCAGAAGCAUCUCUUCUCCAUGCCUUUUGGAGAUAGCAAGCUGCUGCUUUAGCUCUUGGUUCUUGGUCUCAUACUGCUCCUUGAUGAAGGCAAUGCGCAGCGAUUCUUGUAUAGCAACAGGUGGUCCUUGAGGUUCUCGUUUUUCAUGAGAAAGAAGCAAUUCAGCUUCAGCCUUAUUUUUGAGCUCCUUCAAACGGAUGGAUAAGUUUUUGAAUUCUUCAGUUUUCAAAAUUUGGUGAGAAAGCUUGUUAGAAAGGUCAGUAUUUGUGGAACGUAAGGUCAUCAGCUUAUCUUCAUACUCUUCCAGCAAACUUAUGCAAGCAAGCUGUUCAUCUAGUUUGUGCUUGAGGACUAUCAUCAUGAUUUCCAACUGUUCCUUGGCCAACGCCAAAGAAACUGUUUCUUCUUCUGCAUCUGGCAGCUUGCUCUUUAAUUGGUCUACAUCAAACACAUGCAGAUCUUCAUGCUCAGACAUUCUAACCUCCAAACCAUCAGCAUCAGCAUUAUCAUUAAUCUCCUUCAGAUGGAUGGAUAAGUUCCUGAAUUCCUCGGUCUUCAGAAUCUGUUGAGACAGCUCAUUUGCAAGCUCACGAUUCUCAUCUUUACAUUGUUCCAGCAAGGUAGCACAAGAGAGCUGCUCAUCUAGUUUGUGUUUCAAGAAUAUAAUUCUGAUUUCCAGUUCUUCCUUGGCUAAUGUCAUACUAACCAUUUCUUCUUCAGCAAUUUCCAGUUUCACUUUCAAUUGUUCCACCUCAUUCAGAUGCUGAUCUUUAUCCUCAGACAUUUUAACCUCUAGACUUGCCAGCUUUGUCUUGUAUUCUUCAAGUUGAACCAUGAUAUCUCUGUUUGCAUCUGACAGAACUCUAUUCUGCACUGCAGAGGCUUCAAAAUCAGAUCUUACUGAUUCAAUAGCUUUCACUAGAUUUGAAUUUUCUUUGGAGCAACGAGAUUCAUUUGCAAGAGAGCAAUUCAACAUUGCAUCCAGAUCAAAAUGCUUUUUCUGAAGCUCCCUAAAACACAGAUCUGAAGAUCUGAGUUGCUGCUCAAGCUCCUGAAUUCUGAUCUUGUACAUGCUGAUUAGAAACACAGCCUUAACAUCUGCACCAAUUAAAUACUCAUGCAUAUCUGACAACUGACUUUCAAGACCAAUCAAACAAGAAGUCUGAGCUUUAAGUUUUUCAUCUCCCUUGGACAAAAGAUGGUAAAGUCUGGAUUUGUCCAACUCUAAGUUUGCAACAAGCCGCCGCAAGUUCACCAGUUCAGCUUUUUGCUGGGAAAACUCUUGCAACUUGUCUUGUUCCUUGUUCAGUUGUGCAGCAAGAUCACCAACUGCAAUCCCUAACUUGUCUUUCAACCCUCUUUCCAUAUCCAACUCGUUCUGCAGACUUUGCAAGUUUUCUUGAAGACAGUUAAACUCAGAUGCCAGCUUGGAAGAUUCCACAGUUUUAUCCUGUAAUGAAAAAAUCAAGUUCUGCUUCUCUUGUAUUAGCUCAGCAAUUCUGGUCUUGUACAGGCUGAUAAGAAACACAGCGUUAACAUCUGCAGCAAUUACAUACUCAUGCAUAUCCAACAACUGCCUUUCAAGACCAAUCAGAUGAGAAGACUGAGCUUUAAGCUUUUCAUCUCCCUCGGACAAAAGAUGGCAAAGUCUGGAUUUGUGCAACUCUACAUUGGCAACAAGCUGCCGUAAGUUUGCCAGUUCAGCUUCUUGCUGGGAAAACUCUUGCAACUUGUCUUGUUCCUUAUUCAGUUGAGCAGCAAGAUCUCCAACUGUAAUCUUUAACUUGUCUUUCAACCCUCUCUCUGUAUCCAACUCGUUUUGCAGACUUUGCAAGUUUUCUUUAAGAUAGUUAACUUCAGAUGCAAGCUUGGCAGAUUCCACAGUUUUAUCCUGUAAUGAGACAAACAAGUUCUGAUUCUCUUGUACUAGCUCAGCAACAGUCGACUCGCUCCUUUCAAACUCUCCAGCUAAAGUAUCCAAGUUUAGUAUCUCUUUAACCAGACACCCAUCUUUGGAUAUUAGAUUUUGAAUAUCAACUUCCAAAGUGGCAAGAUCAGCCAAAAGCUCUUUGUGUUGCUCUACAUAUUUUUCUUCGAUUUGAGAGCUGCGAAGGAGCUUAUUAGAAACAGUUUCAAGUUUAGAUUGAAGGUUUUCAACAGCAGCACUAGAUGCAUCCAACUUAAACGCCGCAUGUUGUAUAUUAUCCUUGAACUUCUGCUUCAUGGCCAGAAACUCUGAUCUGAUAGCUCUCAAAGACACAAUAGCACUUGCUCUCUCAUUUUCUAGAUUGCUAUUCUCUUCCAUUAGUUGAUGAAUCUUGCUACAAGCAUUGUGCUGUAUCUCUUCCAAUUGCAAGAUGAUAUCUCUGCAACUCUUUGUGUUUGAAUCAAGAGAAUGAGUAUCACUUAAUAGAGAAAGCCCAGUAAAAUGUUUGUUAUAAAAAGCCAACAAAGUAGCCACUUUCCCUUGAAAAAAACUGACAGUUUCCUGGAGAUUUUCCUUGAGAGAUUUCAAUUCAGAAAAUUCAAUUUUGAGAGUUCCCAACUCUUCAUUGAGAAGAGACUUUUCAUUCUGAAGCUUAUUAGAUACUAAAGCUUCCUGCUUCAAUAGAAUAGACAGCUCUGUUUUCUCAGCCAAACAAGCCUCAUAUUGGUGCUGAAUACUUUUGCAUUCCAUCUCAAUUGCUUCCCGAUCUGCAACCUUCUUUAAAAGCAGUGAGUUCUCCUCAAUCAUGCUUCCUAACUUGGCUUCUAUAAUCUGAUUCUGCACAGCCAAAUCAUUAAAUCUGGCAGCGCAACUAGUCUUGUACUCAUUCAGGCUGUGAACAUCAUCCAUUGCAGCCUGCAACCUUACAAUCAACAGAUUCUUGGACUCAUUUGAGACCCUUAACUUCUCCAUUAAUUCAUUUAUACCUGUUUUCAGUAUUUUCAUGCCAGAAUUUGCCUCGGACAGUGUUUCCCGUAGAGUUCUUGAGAAUAUAUCCAAGUGCAAAUUUUCAGAAUGCAUUUCCAUGAGUUCUUCUUCGACCUUUUGAUAGAGCUCUUCCUGAAAGCAGAGUGAUCUUUUUAAAUCCUCUAGAAGGACAUCUCCACCCAGUUGUUUCCUCACACCCAUAUUUUGAUUCUGACUGCGCCAGACUUUUAAAGCAUCAGAUUCUUCAAAAUUUUGCACUACAUCCAGGUAUCCUGGGAAAGAAGGUUGAGAAGUUUCUGAAAAAGCUUGCUUCAUGAUAUUCUCGUUAGUCUCAAACAUGGAGAGUACCUGAGAAGAAAGCAGCUCAAGAUCCUUCUGUAGUUUAUCUACUGCAAUAGAGUAGUUCAAGCGGGCUCUUCUAAGUGCUGCAUCUGAGGUAGUAGCUCUUCUCUCAAGCUCCUUAUUAAGAGCAUCCCACUCACGUCUCUCCUCUGCAAACCGUAAUAUCUGCUCAUUCAUAUCUUGGCGCAUCAAUUCCAAGUCAGCUUUAGUUGUUGAAAUAUCAUAUAAGCAAGUAGAAUGCUCACUCCUGAGAGUUUGCAACUCUCCUAUCAUUUGCUUCUGAUUUUCCUCAAGCUCUUGGAUAAGAGCUUCAUAGUAGCACUCCAUUUCUCCCAUCUUUCUUGCAAGACCUUCCUUUUCAACUUUUGCCCCAUCUAACUCUCUAACAAGGUCCACAAUAUGUUUUCUCAUAGCAUCAAUAGCACCAAUGGAUUCAGUUUCUUGAGACACAAGUGGGGGAAUGUUGAAAUUGCGGAGCAUUAUUUCAGGUUCAGAAGCUUCUACUUCAAACCCAACUCCAGAUGCAAAUUGUUCACUCCUGCAUAAAGAUGUUUCUAUGAUCUCCUCCGUAUCAUUCCUCUUUCCUAAUACUGCAUUAAGCAAUGAUAUUGCUUCCCCUGUUCCAUGUUUGAGAUCUUGCAAGGUAUCAAGCAGCGCCUCCAACUCUGAAUGAAGGAAUCUUGAGUCUCUUUCAUGGAAACCAAGAUAUAUCUUGCUUUGAAGUUCUCUUAUCAUGUCCUCCACAACUAAGAUCCCCUUGGUCCAGCGCAAUUGUAUGUCCUGAAGCAGGUGAUAGUGCUCAAUAUGGCCAUGUCCACCAGUUACAAUUUGUGGGCUCAAUUUAAAACUUCUAAGCCUUUCAACGUCAUUUUUAUAGUUGCAACACUCCAACUUCAGAAGAGAGACCUCUCUUGCCAAUUCUUCACAGGACGAUAUCUCAGUGGCAAGUAUGUGGGAGAACUUUUGUGUUUCAAUACCAAUUUCAUCAGCUUGGCUUUGCAAAGCUCUUACUUCCAGCUUAAACUCAAAAAAAGAUGAUUCAGCAAAUUCCAAACUGCCUCUGAGUCUGUUAUUCUCCUCAUAAGCAGUUGCCAAGUCAUUAUCUACCGAGAAGUCUGAACCCCAUCCCUGAACCGAAUCACUGCUUCCAGGAGCUAUCGUGAUGCGACUAUCAGAAGUAUCCAGUUUAUGUGUAUGUGGGCUUUGACAAUGUGUAACACCAUUCAUAUCACCUGAAAUUGUACUCUUAAGACUAUCAAUUUCAUGUGCACUGCCAGGGUCAUGCCUCUCAGCAUAUACGCUUUCUGACGUAUUAGAUGAGCCAUCAAAACCAACAGUUGAGUCUCCAUACUCUUCAUUUCCCAUUUCUUCUUCCACUGAAGAAAGCUCUCUAGCAUCUGAUCUGGGUCUAAACCUUGCACCAUCCUACAUCAAUGCAAUGAAAUGAACAAGGAGGGUAAACUAGCAGAUAAUUUGAAGAGUUUUUCCAUGCAAGUAGCAUAAAAACUUCAAUUUUUAAGAAUUUAACAGGCUGAUUUGGAAUUUAACAAUUUAUACCAUAAUCUUAGAUAUCAAUUAAUACAAAAGCAGUGAAUGAACUUCAAAUCAAACCACGAGUUCUAUGAUGAUGAGCAUGAAGAAGUAAGCAUCUAGGUGUCCAUAGUAUAAGAAUAAAAUAGCUCAGAUGUGCACCAGCUAAAUGGUUGGUAAAAAAAGGUAAACUAUGCCAUGUCAAUUAUGAUACUUGAAGCCCAUAAUGUGAAGGAUAUGACAAAGUGGUCAGCGCAACUCUCAGGCACUCUCAUCAUGGUUUGCAUUUAGUUAUAGUGUAAACCAAACAACUACAUAACAAUUUGUCAACAAUGAAAUUGAGAAAAGAAACAUCAGUAAUUUUUGGGACACCAGUCAUGGGAAUUAUAAAACUCAAUUACCUUAUCCAUCUGUUCAUUAGCAGUCACUUGCAAAUGUGCUCCUUUUCCAGGACUACUUUCAUCGUGCUUAUCACCCGUUUGCAAGCCCCUCUCACUUAGUUCCCUCUGCUGCUCAAACUCUCUGUGGACAAGUAAUUUUUCUGUUUACUUUCCAAAAGUUACACAAAUAUAUUACAAGACAAAUUAGCUUUACCUGAAUCCAGUUUUAGAAGUAAGCAGCUGUACAGUAACCUGGCAUUCAACAUGUAGUAAAAGUAAGUAUCUGGAAAUUAAAUUAAAAAUUUGCUGAUCAUUCUGUAGAAAACAAAAGUGCAGAUUGGUAAAACAUUACCAACUGCCGGAAUACAAUUUAAAUGGCCACAACCAGAUGCAUUCUGGUUUGACGUUUAUCUUUUUCAACAUUUUUGCAAAUGAAAUUAAUAUCUAAUCUUUAGUGAUGAAGUAAUUAAGCAUUACUUGCUAUCACCAGCAAGUGAGACUUCGGCAUCUUUCUAAUUUCCAUAGAAGGAUCCUGAAUCCUAUCACGCAUUUUAAUCUUCAACCAAAAAUUUUCUGCUGAGCAUCAUGAUUUUCCAAAAAUCACUUGGUGACAUAUGUUGAUCUGCGUUAAAUGGAUUCAUAAACAAAAUUUUGCAUGGAGAAGCACGGAACUUUGUCCCUAAAAUAAUUAGGAGCCUAACAUGCAGAUCAGCACAGAGUGCAUUCAAUUGCUGCCUUUCUUUGAACUAGAAUACUGAGUUCCUCAAAUAUGAGAAAUAGUAAUUUCAUAACUACCAUAGAUACAGGUUAGAAGAGAAGGGGAAGAGAAUCAGUUAGCUAAAAUAGCAAAUGUAGCAAUCCAUCCAACAUCAGACUUGCCUGUUUGACCAUCUGACAUUAACAUUCAAUGAAAAGCUAAGUGUAGACACGGAUAUAAAACAAAGAAAUGAACACGAUAUUUCUCCAAAUUGGGAUGUGGACACGGUGAAUAAUUGCAAAUUUGUAUAAUAAAUGUACAAUAAACAAUGUUGUACUGAUAGCUCUAGACAGACAUAAGGUUUUUAAAGAAUUGUUACAUUUCUUUUGUUAAUAAAAUAAGGAUACAAUCUGGGAUAAUACCAAUUUAAUCCUAACAAUCAAAUGUUUGACAAUCAAGGAACAUAUAUAUCCGAACAGAUUUUUCGAGUUCUCUAUCGCCUGUUCUUAUUACUUUAUUCCAUCUUUUGUUUAAUUGCUCGUUACUUCAUUCAUGAUCAUCGCAACUUCCUCCAUAUAUGAUGGGCAUCCUGAGUUUCUUGUCACUGGAAAAAUAGCUGUAUUUCUUGAAAAUUCGAAUAACCUAUAUCUUAAUGUAUUUAAAGCAUCACACUUAUUUUUAUAUACAAAAAAUCAAAAUGGUUUUAUAUCACAUCUUCAAGAUUUGGUUUUCAUUGGUCUUUUGAAUAUUUCCCAUGCCUGUGUUUGAAUAGGACAUGUCACAUUCCUUACAUGUAAUGUUGUUCCAUGAUUGCAUCCGUGAAGAGGCAAUGCAACAACUGAAGGCUUCAAUGCAUCAGCAUAAUCAGCAAGAUUGAUAAUAGCCUCACCAAGGAUGCUAGCACGUGAAGAACCCUGCACCCGGAAAGAUUGACAUAGAUAGUACAUUAAAACAUCAACAACAUUACAACAACAUUAUAUCAAGCAUAGAAUUUAAAGAGACUACCAUGGCCACAACAAGCUUGUAAAGCUUCUCAUCAUAUUGUUUGCUUUUUGCAUCUUGUAGAAGCCUUGUAGUUUCGUAUAUAGGAUCAGCCCACUUGCAUGUUCCAUUUCUGACAUUUGCUUUUGUAGUCUUUGCUGUUGCCUUUCCUGAGUCUGCUGGGAUGAACGAUAUAAAUAACUUAUCCCAUCCGCUCUGUGGAAUCUGAAUAUGAUAAAUAAAAAAAUUCAGGUAUCAUAUUUUUUAAGUUGUUAUAUUUAUGUAGAUUGGUUCGGUAACUCAAGACCUCUGUCAAAGGGCUUUAGAGGAGUUCAUGUUCAAAAAAGGAACUGCAAAAGCAUUUACUUUUUGUAGUCAUCAUAAUCAGCAUUAUUUUAUGGGUAAAGAUGAUGCAUCAGGCAAGCAAGCAAAUUGAAAUGUCCCUCAAACUAGUCCAGUACAACUCGAACCAAGGUAAAAGAAAUUUUGAGAAGUUUCAAGGAUUUUCAGGCUAUCCCAAGAACUGAAGAUAAUAGUUUCAUUGAGGCAAUGAUACUAGGAAAAUCUUGGCAAGAAAAUUAAUGUAGCAUAUUGCAACAAAUGUUUCUUAGUCUGCUGCUACUUUCAUAAUGCAAACCACACUUGUAUUGAAUUAUGACUUGAAAUAUAAACUCAGUGGCUAAUUAAUAUUAAGCAACACACUUUAAAGUAGAAUAGUAGUCAAAAUAAAAUCUUUUUUUUUUAAAAGCCAAGUUUUAGCAUAUUGUAUCUAAGAUUCUAAGCAGUAAAAUACACCAGAUGGGGCAAGUUGCAUCACUUGCAAAGCUGUGCAAUAAGAGAAGAGUUGAAGUCAUACUUCCAUUGCACUAUUGAAAUGUCAAUACAACAAAAUUAUGCUUUUUGUAUGUGCAUGUUUAAGUUCACAUACAUCCCAAAUAACAGUUUCACAAACCACAUCAUAUGCACAGGACAAAAAAUGGUAAUUCAGGCAUUUGUUACUCUAAUCAAGCUGCGCUAUUACACCUUUUUAAAGUAAAACUGCAAUCCUAAAAGUACCCCAUGCUGUGAAGCACAAGUUAUUUAAUGCAAAUUGCCAGUUUUGCCCAUAUCCUAGAUUUAUUUAAUGUAGAACUUCUUGUUGCAUUCUUUGUCUUUUUGCCUAAACCCUAUAGAAGAAAUUACCAAUCAAGACAUGCUUAAAAUCCAAUGUUCUUAUUAUAGUUGUUUGUGGGAUACUUCUUUUGAAUGUCCUAGUCCUUCAACUACACAUGAAAAAGAGAAAUUUGAUAUGCUAGUGGGAAUGAGCACACACCAACUUUGUCAAUAAUGUGAUGUGGAUUACAGAAAUUAAUUGUGUCUACAAAAUCAGUCUAAUACACAAAGAUGAGUUCACUGCACAAUCUGUCAUCUAAAGUCCUAAACAUGCAAUGUGUUGAAUAAAAAGAAAAAAUAUUUGGAAAAAUCACAGCCAAUUUAAAAGCACUGAAUUGAAUUUCUAAAACAGCAGCAGAUAAUAAGCAGCAAAGAGGUACUUCAACUUUAAUUUUUGAAAGAGAGCACCAUACAUGAGUUGCAUGAAAUUGAAGCCGAAAAACCACUUUCACUUUGUUCUUCUCAAGCUUCCACUUAGUGACCCUCGACAUUAUUUUGCCCCACUAAUCUGCCAUCACUUGCACAUUGCCAUGAUCCAGACUUUGCGUUUUGUAGUGUUUUGAUUCCAGAAUGCAAACGCCUACACAAGAUGUGAUACUAAUUAUAUACAACUGGUGAGGAGAGGAGGUUGAUAUUUUUGUAAUGGAACCCCUGCAUCACACAAAAGAUAAACAACAGGUACACAUAGUUCAACCUCAAAUCAAACAAACUGAAACAGUAGAAGUUCAGUGAUACCACAUUGAGACAUGAUAUGAUCCUUAUGGUCAACACAAGAUGACACCAUAACCAUCGCAAUUCACUAAAAUCACAAGAAAAUGAAGUCAAUAAAUUCAAAAGUUUAAGAAAUGAACUACAGAAUCAAAAGUUUUACUUCACCACUAUCUUUUUUAAAAUUUUUUAGCAGGGGAGGGGUGGGAUUUAAGAAGUGGGCAAGGUGAAGGGGGAUUGGAACCCAGGACCUCCUCAACCUACAAGAAAACUACAAGAAAUGAAAACUACAAGAAAUGAAAGUUAAUGGCAAUCACAUUCUCUCCUAAUGGACUGAUUACCAAGAAAUUAAAAAGUUUAUUAUGGAUGGUUCAUCUGACUGAUGAUCUUAAAGUAUCAACAAACAAGUCAAACUGGAGUAGUUAAUAACAGCAGCAAAUUCUCAUUCAGCUAAACAGUAAAUCAAAUAUCCACAUAAAGCUACUUCAAGUAAGAUAACAUGCAAAGAUCUCAUAAACUUCCAAUAGCAUUUCACCUAUAAACAAAUUCAAGAAAAAACAACUUAGCUCCGAACCAGAAAGUUCCUCCGAUCAGAAUCGCGGCAGACAGUCAAAAAACUACCCAAGCCGCUCUGAUCCAAUCACGACCUUCAAUUUUACCAAAAGAACACUGAGUUCAAAACAAUGCAACUGAAAAACCAAAUUUUAUCCGCCCAAAAAUUUUCAAAAAUUCCUCCAGUGAAAGAAGUUUAAGGGGGAGACAGAAAAUAAAAAGCAUGAAGACCUUUUCCAAUGCCCCAAAAGCAAGAAUCAGAAUUAAAAUUCAUAAGAAGCUGUCAAAUAAUAGAGCAGAUUCAGCAACGAAAAAAAAAAUGCUGCCUUUCAGCUUCCAAACAAGAGUCCACAUUAAAAAAAAAAAGAUUUUUUUGAAAAUAAAAAGGUGAAAAUAGUAAUCUCCUUCUUAGUAGUAGUGCUGUUUUUUCUUUCUUUUCUCCGUUUCUUUCCCCCUUUUCUCGGGUCACUCUUUUGUCAAUUUGCUUUCACAAAACGCCAAAACUUCAAAUUAGUAAAUUUUGUCUAUUAAUGCAAUUAAAAAAAAAAACACACGUCACCUACUUCCAGACAGUAACUCAGAUUCUUCUACCUCGUUGUCCGAAGGUAUACAGAACCCAUCAAAAUUUUCAAGCAAAAAAACAAAAACCCAUCAUUUAUUCAGCAACAUUUUUUUUUUUUGCAAAAGAUGAGCAGUAGCUUGAUGGGGUACCUAAAUUUGGAUCUGGGUCUGGCUGCAAGUGGAGAAGGGGAGCUUUAAAAGUGAAGACAAGUAAAAUAAAAAUGGAGAAGACUGGAGAAAGAAGAGCUGAGGAUUGCUUAGAAAAACAGGAAGGAUUACGCUUAGGAUUUACCAGCAUUCAAAUGCAAAUAAUGGGCUUUGUUCAGUAGCUUAUCCCUUUCAUAACUCACAGUUUUUUGUAUGAGUGUUUCGAUAAAUGGACCCUGCGAAGACACUUCAAAAGCCGGCAACUUUUGAAGUGCUCCGCAGCACUUAACUACUAAACCCCCCAAACCCCCCCAAGCGAUGUGGGAACUUAACCCCACAGGGUGCCCUGCUGCUAAGAAGUAAAGACCCCCCAGACUCCCCGAGACAGGUUUUUCCCUUUCAUAACUCACAGUUUUUUGUAUGAGUGUUUCGAUAAAUGGACCCUGCGAAGACACUUCAAAAGCCGGCAACUUUUGAAGUGCUCCGCAGCACUUAACUACUAAACCCCCCAAACCCCCCCAAGCGAUGUGGGAACUUAACCCCACAGGGUUGUUCAGUAGCUUAUGGAAUGCCAGUUUUGUGCGUAUGUGACAGUAGUGUGUGUUUGUGGGUGUGUCAGAGUCUUUGGUGUGUGAGUGUGUGUAUGUGUGAGUGAGAGAGAGAGAAUUGGGGGGAAGGGGUUGAGACAUCAAUUAAAGAAAGAGAUAUCCCGCCAAAGCUUGUAAUUUUCACUAUUUAAUUAAUAUGAAAGCAAUUAAUGAUUAUCUUUUGUUUUGGUUUUUUGGGAUAAUUUGGACACUGGUAAGCUAAGCAUUCCUCACCUCCCAGCACAUAAAUUAUCCUUAAAUUUUGAGUGAUUUUUUGGGGCAUUUUUAGGUAUCAUGUACUCAAAUUAAAUUUAUUGAAGGGUGAAAUAAGCACUUUUAAAUUGUAGCAAUUUUAAAUCAUUUAAAAUAUUAAAAAAACUAUUGAGAUAUAAAUUCAGGGAAUGAUUGCAAACAAUAAUAUUCAUUCAAGAAAUUCAAACAUUCAUUUUGUGUGAGAUUCAAGAUUUAUUAUUUCAAAAUCGAUAUCACCAUAAUAGAAAUAUUAGUGUCUCCACGUAUCUUGAUUAAAUGACAAAAUCAACACCACACAUCAAAAUCUUUUGAUAGCCUAUAAAACUUAAAUUUGUCAUUUUUAGUCAAAAUGUGGCAUGGGAAUGAAUUAAUACCCUGCAUUUGCUAAAUUUGUUUGUGGUUUAUGUGGCCUGAAAAAAUUAUUGAAAAUUGCCACUUCGGAUACCAAGUUGAAAACCAUAUGUACUUUGACUCUAAUGUUUGGAUAGUCAUUAUUUUGUCAAUAAUUAAUUUAUUUGUAAUAUAUCUUUUCAAUCACUUUUUUAUCUCGUAUACGUACAUUGCAUCACCAAAAGUGGUACAGUAAUUAUUUCAAAUUCCUGUUCAAAUUAAUUUAUUUGUAAUAUAUCUUUUCAAUCACUUUUUUAUCUCGCAUACGUAUAUCGCAUCACCAAAAGUGGUACAGUAAUCUCCUGUUCAAAUUCCUGGCUAUUUGUUUCCAUUCUACCUUUUAAUUAUUUGUUCUUUCCAAGUUGGAGAUUUGCUGUGUAUUUACUGAAGAGCCUUUUGGUGUUGACUGUUUGGAACGGUAGGGAACAGGAAUGUGCUGCGUUGUCGAUGGGGUUUGAUGGGGACAUGUUUGGAAGAUUCUCAAAAAGAAUUCCGCCUUGUUUUUGACUUAUUGAUCCAGGACACUUGUUGUCUAGUAUUAUUGUCACCUUAUAAAUUACUCUUAAAAAUUUAACCCUUUUCUUCAACACUCUUAAUUAUGUUUUGAUACUUGUGAAAAACGGGCUUAAUUAAAUAUUUAAAUAUGUCUAAAAAAAUUUUCUAACGAAAGUUGAAUGAAAAAGCACAUCUAACAAUCCAAAGAUAUUUUUAAAAAAGAACUUAUCAUUCAACUCAUUUUAAUUGUUCUUGAAGAUUAUACAUUUAACAGAUCUUCUUAUCAUUGAUAUUGAUUUGAAUCUUUUUGCAGAUGAAGACAGGAAAAAGAUCAAAUGGUAACAAUCCAAAGUCUUUUUUUUUUUUUUAAGAUUAUUUUUCAGUUCAAAUUUAGAACUAGUGCAUUUCGUAUUGUGUAAAAAUGAAAUGUUGCAUUUUGCAUUUAUAGAUAGUCUUCCUUUUGUAUUUCCUAAUAUUUUCCGUCUUCACAAGUUUUGUUCGUCAUCUAACAUCUGUAAGAUUGAAUUUUCAGUUUUUCUCCAAAAGUACAAAAAGGUUAGGUGGUAAUUAGGUACUACAAUUUUUGCUUUUAACACGGACAAUUAGAGAAGUGAAUUUUAGUUACUUGGUGUUUACAACAUCAACACAAACCAUAUGUAUACAUCAAGUUGACUUUGAAAAAAAAAAAAAAUUUUUUUGUCUCUUUGAGUCCAAAUUACUGAAAACCUACAUUCCAUCACACAAUUAACAUAACCAAAUAUACCUAAUUUUAAUCAAAGAUUAUAAUUACAAAUAAAAAAGACUUACCAAACCCAAACAAAAAAAGAUCUCAGUCGAUCUGCUGCAGAGAACCAUACAUUUGUGAGACAAGUUGCCAUCAUUAAUAUAUAUAGAUGCUCAGCUGGCCAGUUUAGCAAAAUAAACUAAAGAAUAGCAUGCUAAUUAAUUAAUGUAGUACCUAGUUCUUUAAAUUUUGCAGCUGUAUCAGAAAUCCACCAAAAUUAUAAUUCUGCAAUGAUGGGGCUCCAUUAUUAUUAGGGGUCCCCUCGUUCCUUCCUCUCUAACCACCAAAAGAAGUGAAGUUUACAGACGAAAGAAAGGAAAAAUUAACUGGAAAAAAAAAAAACAGUGUUAUUCUAAUCUAAAUGCAUCAGUGAAGUUGGUAAUGAAUUUCCAGGAGCAUUUGCAUUCUCUUUUUUUUUUUUUGGUGGGAUUGAUGAUGCAUACAUAAGAUAAUCAACCACACAAGAAUUAAUUACAGACAUGUGGGAUGAAAACUAACACCUUAGAUUAUAGACUGAACUCAGCAUUCAAAACUUUAGUCAAGAACACAUAAUAACUAGUGACUAGUCAAAAUGCUUACCCGGAUUGUACUGCAUUACUCUGAUGGAUGAAUUUAUGCAAGAAGUAGAGAACCAAAUAUUAUACACUUCAUCAGUUUAAGUUUCCCUCUCCUUUCUCUCCGGUGUUUUACCGUUGCCGGAGUUUUAAGUUCCAUUUUCUCCCCCUUCUGUCUCUCUCUCUCUCUAUAUAUAUAUGGCUUUAAGACUAUUCCUGCAGCUUUGUAGUAGUUGAAGUAGAUUGAUUAAUGUGCGGUCAAUCUUAUAUUUCUUGCAAGAUUUAUUGUCCCUUUGUUAUGCCUUCCAAGUAAAUCAUGCUGUUACCGUAAUCUGGAUUACUUUUCCAGGCGGUGGACACUUCUUAAGCUAAAUUAAAGAAUUCGAGAUACCUACUCCUAAUCCAUUCGAAAACAGAUUGACAUUAUAGUUUAAAGGGUUCAUAUGAUUCUAUUUACGAGCUCAGUUCAGUUUUCUCAAAAUCCAAACUCCAAAAAGUAUAGUAGACGUACAUAAUUACUGCUCUACAGAAAAUGGUCUCUUUAAACAUUUCUUAACGCAUUCUCAAAUUGAGUUGAGAGCACAAGGAUUCAACAUUAAUUUAUUCGAGUUCUAAAACACUGAAAUCUAUUCAAGAAUAUACAUGACUGGCAAUGAAUCAUUCAUUUUCUCACUUCACAUAUCAGUGGAUAAAUUGUGAUUACUUGGAUAUAGGGCUGUAAUCGAGUCGAGUCGAGCUCGAAUAUCGCGAUACUCGAGCUCGACUCGACAUACAGAUAGGGGUGCUCGAGCUCGAGCUCGAAGCUUGCUCGCAAUACUCGAGCUUGACUCGUAUAGGCUCGAGUCCAUUCGAAUCUUAUCGAGCUCGAGUUAUUAAAUUUCUUUUUUUUGAUAAUUUUUGAGCGAAAAGACAUUAUUACCCUUUUAAAAUUUUUAUAUGACUUGAAACAUUUCGUAAAUUCGACAAUUCUUUUGGGUAUAAGGGUAAUUUUAUAAUAAUAAUAUAUUAAAUAAUUAAAAUUAAAAUAUUAAAUAAUUAAAAUUAAAAUACUCGAUAAGGCUUCGAGUCAAACUCUUGACCGAGCUCCUCGCUAGCAGCUCGGUUCGAUUACAUCCCUACUUGGAUAGUAUAUAUAUAUAGGUACGGGGAAUACAUCAACAAUGCAAGAAGUUUUUCAAGUCUAGAACUUGCUCAAGAUCUACUUGCAAGACAAGCAAUUUCCCUUCCCUGGUUAUACUCAUAUCGUGUGGACUCCAUGCAUGCACAUGGCUGUCUUUGUGUAAGCUGGAGCGGUUACUUGGUCAAAGCUCCAUUAUAAUUUCCACAGCCAGGCAGUGCUUUUGUCACAUGAUAAGGUUUCCCACCACGUGCAAUACUACCGUCUUCAAUCAAAACAAAUUAUUAUCAUCAGUUAAAGUGUCUCCAAGAUUAGGUAAUUUAAUUGCAUGGGGGGAUCAUCAGAAGGAAAAGGAGCUCAAAAAUGGAAGAAAUUGAGGGAGAUUGUGCAAUUAAUGAACUUUUCAUCCAGUUGUACAUGGCUCAUUUUAUUCUAUUCCAAAAGUGAGAUGACUAAAUAUGUUCAUCAAUAUCUAUGAGACAGAGUUUUUGAAUUUUUAAGUAUUUUUUUUUUUCAAGUUUUCUAGGGUAUGGUGGUGGUAGUUGUUCGAGUGAUUUUCACUCUUGAAAUUGAUUCUGGCAUUACUUAGAAUAGUUCAUUUGGUUUUUGUAUCUGCCCUAUUUCUCCAGUGGCAUUAUUCUUUUGGCAAGUUAACAUACAAAAAGAAAAGAGUGGAUUAAUUCUAGGGAGAUUACAGUUGUGAGUGGGGCUAUGUGGUGGAAUUCCAUAUGAUGAGAUUGUCUGCUACGACAUGAUUUCGUGAAAGCAUCUCAGUCAUUUCUCAAUCUUCUUGUUUCUGGUUAAAUAGGAGCACCAUUUAUUGGUCAAUUCACUAAUAAUUACAGAACUUUUAUGUAGAUAAAACAUGAUCUGCUUUACAUAACCAUGAAAGUAGUUCUCUGUCAAUGCAAAAAUCCAUCUCGAUCUCCUUGAUUAUUUCCAGUAAUUUUUUUGAAGACUUGGAAACACAGAAAUCUGAGUGCAGAGUCAGCAACAGCAGGUCCAGCCCAGUGAUUCAGACAGUAGGCAGCCUGGAUGAAAGCUUUUAAAAAAUUUCAAGAGCCAGGUUUUACACACACACGCAAAAUCCACAGGCCCGAUACUGAACUGAAAAUCAACUCUAUUCUGUUUGCUCGUACAAUUACAGGCCCGCGUCAACUUAUUCUGUGAACCCAUGCAUAUACCAUGCCAAUUCUCUAUGAGCGUAUUAAGUUUAUUUCUCUUUUAUUGGAGAAGCAUGUUCAGACGAAGGGAUUCAAGGCCUUUGCAAUCGUCCGUUUCAAUUGCAAUUUACACCAUACACUAAUUAGUUAGGUUUUGAUUUAGCGAUCAAAGUUAAAUCCCCACGAGUUGGAGAUUUUAAACUCAAAUUUCACUAUGUGUGGAUAUAUGUGAAUUUCAUCUUUUCACUGCUGACCAUUCUCCUUUUUUUUUUUUUGAUAAGUUGAAGGUCUUGAAUCUAGAAUCUAUCACUCAAUCCAACCCUCCCCUCUCAUCUUCUAGUAAUAAGUUUAUUUGUAAUAUCAACGAGUUAGUAUAAUCCUCGCUUCAUAAAUUAGUUUAUUAAUUUUAUGAUUCUAGAAAUUAUACCAACAGUGGAUGCACUAACACGAUCAUUGUCGAUAAACAACAAAACGAAUAGAGAAAACUAACGUGGGUUUGUUUGGAUAGCUGAUUAUUUUUCCAAAUAUAUUUGCUUACAUCAUCAUUACAAUUUUCAAUACACCUUUUUAUAUUCUCAAUUACCUUUUUAUCUCACAUACAUCACAUCAUACAAAAUGUUACAGUAAAAAUAUCUCGAAUAACUUACAAUUCAAACAAACCUGUAAUAAUCAAAACAAAUUUCAUCCCAAUAAUGUCUUACGAUUGGUUACAUAAAUCCAAUGUCAAAUGAUAUCCCAAUUGAGUCAUUAACCGAAACUUGCAAUUGCCGAGUAGUUUCUUAAUGUCACGGAUUGUUUGUUUUCGGAUGAAUAUAGCGUACUUGGACAACCCAUCCACCACGAUAAAAAUGUGUCAGGACUACUAUGUACAGUGCUGUGGAGGUUGGGUGCGAUCCGUGUCAUCAAGAGCCCAAGACAUCAGCACGACAAGAGUAGGUGCCUACUCCUAGUCAUUGCAUCGUUGUCGGUGUUACGGUUAAAGCUUUGUCAGGCCAAGAUAUGGACGUCAUCAUUACAUCACAAAGUCGACUAGGCUUUGUUUUGGGAUAAUUUCAGAAACUUCCCUGAGGUUCGUGACAAUUUCACUAAACUGUCUUGAAAUUUUAAAAAUUAUACUUACUUCCCUUAAGUUGAUAUUUUUGUAACAAAGCCUUAAACUUGGUCAAAAUUAUAAAUGAAAAACCUAAAAUGUCCUUAGUUUAUAAAGUUUAAAUUACUGAUCAUUCCAAACUAUUGAAAAAUAAUUCAACACAAAUGUAAAGGAAAAAUGUCAAGUGUUCAAUACAAAUGUAAGAGAAGAGUGUCAAGUUUCUAAUGCUCAUUUAUUGUUUGAUAAGCAACAACAAUAAUUCUAUCACUAUAAUACGAUAUUAUGAUACUUUUUUAUAGAUAUAUAUAUUCUUUUUAUGUUGCUGAAGAGAGCGUCAUCAUAAUUCUUGUAGAAUUUGUGGAUUUUUAAAUUUGGUAGUUCUCUCUUUUUGAGUUAUUGUUACUUUUGAUUAAAAAAAAUUGGUCACAUUCAAAGUUUGUUAAGGAAAAAAUAUAUAUAUAUCACUAGUCCAACAUUUGAUAAUCAUAGAGGUUAAGGUCAAUGUUAAUAGUUCUAUGGUUUUACUGCCAAAUAUAAAAAGGAGAAAUAAGAAGAGAAAAUGAAAAGAUUAAAUAAUUAUAAAAUCUCUCUUUUGUAUAAGCAUGCCCAACAAGAAAUUUUAUUAAAAUGUUAAAACUAGUUUUUUUAUUGUCAUUUUAAAUGGACGAGGGAAGUAAAUAUAAUUUUUAAAACUUCAAGGAAAUUUAGUGAAAUUGUUAUAAAUUUCAGGAGAGGUUUCUAAAAUUAUAUCUUUUGUUUUUGGAGAGAGAGAGAGAGAGAGAGAGUGUGUGUGUGUGUGUGUGUGUGUGUGUGUGUGAAGUUUAUGCAGUCGUUGCAUUGCAUCACUUCAUUUUCUGCAUCAGAGUCUUCUUUAGAACAAUUCUUUAUUUCUAGAAAAUGGAGCACUGAAUGGAAAUAAAAACGAAAAUUUCCUAGUCACUCGCAAUAACUUCUUGGAAUACAGCAUUUGGAAUAUCAAAAAGGCCCUUUUUCACCCUUUUGGGUUUCAAACACAUUAGGCUUUGCUACCUUGGAAUUUGAAUACGAGAAAAAGAAAACAAUAAAGGGCUUAGCCAGCAGUAAACAACGAACGGUAAUUACAUCUUUUUUGUUUUGUUCUUUUUCUAAAUUUUAAGAUGCAGAUCGAGAAGACUUAAUAAGGGCCAAUAUUCACAAAUGCGAAAAGAAAUUUGCAAAAAGAAAAAGGACACUACGGAUAGAGAAGGCAUGCUAGCAUUAACUGCAUGCUAUUGAUCAUUAAUAUCGUCAUACAAAGUAUACUACUAGUAGCAUUUCCUCUGGGAAUCAAAAAAAAAAAAAAUAUUGGCUAGUACGUUAUUUCAAGUCCUAGGAAUCUCCGAAACAGAGACUGCAUGAUCACCAGAGGGGUGGAUUUUCUUGAACAUGGCAAAAAAGCAACUGCCAGAAGUGGGCUUCCCAGUUUGAAGAUUGCCAUGAUGAUGAUCAGCAUGGACCACUUUUCCUGAUCCAGAAGCAGCUGCCAGCUCUUCCAUUUUUUUUGUCAUCUUCAUUUUCUGAAGCUUCUUCAUUACCACGAUCUCUGCAAAACCAAUGCUAGGGGUUGACAUGAUAGCUGGAUUAGAGGGCAAAGAAGAAGGCUAAGAAUUGUGCUAGAAUAGAAGAAUGGGGAGGUUGGAGGUUUGAUUGUGAAAUAUAUACUGAUCAGAGUGUUAUAGGUUUCUUGGCUGUGAUGCAAUAAAAUGAAUGAGGCAUUGGUUUUUCCGAAAUCUGGGAACUAUUUGGACUAAGUGGGAGACACAUUAAAUGCCCACAAGACAAUUGAAAAAACAAUGGCAGAAGCCGUGGGAAACAUAAAUCUCUUAAGUAGGGUCCCCAAAUUGGAGAGGACUUGGAAUUUUUUUUCCCCCUCAACACAUUUCUGGGGUGUAGAUGUCUAACAGGCUAUAAAGAUUUUUAUCUGAUUUUCACGUUUUCGUUUCUUUUGUUAACUAUCAUCGUGGUCAUGGAAUGUCAAUGUGCUUUCAGACAAAUAGUAGGAAAUAGAGAAUUGAUGCUAGUGUGCAUCGUUGCAAAUAUUUUUUUAAAUUUUUCAAAUUUAUAUUUUUAUGGACUAUAAUUUUAUGAUGUUGUGGUAGUACUAACAAUUGUUUCUUAGAUGGUUUUUUUUUUGGAGUAAAUAAUUUGGCUUAGGAGUAUAUUUAUUAAGCAAAAUGAGCAAACGGUAUUUUUAGGAUUUUUAAAAAUUUUGUUACACAAAUAACAAUUUGGCUGAUAUCUUUAAAAUUUUAAGAAUGUUAAGUAAUAUUAAGAGAUACCUCAUGAGAGGUUCUGAUAUUAUCCCUAGUACUUAAUAUCUAUUUUCGAUAUGGUGAUUUCUGCCAUAUUAAAAAUGGUACUUUUCGUAAUGCGGGCAAUGAGCAUAUGCCUAAAUAAGAAUUUUUGUGAGUGGAGUUGAUAAAGAAAGGUUUAAAAACUGACCACUUGAUUAGUGAAGUACUUAAUUAUGACUGGAAAUGAUAAAGAACUGGAUAUUUCGCUUUUCUCUUUUUUUUUUUUUUUAUGGGUGGGCUUAUCCUUAUCCUUCAAUGCAUAGCAUAACGUACUUAAGAAUGAAAAUAAAAAAUGAAAAAGGAAGAAAACCAUCUCUCUUCCAUCCGUUUAGAAAAAAAAGGUUGUAGGGCUUGGGUUGUUUUUGUUGGGAGAGAGGGAGCAAAACAAUGGGGAGACUGCAAAAGAAACUAUUGGGCCUCAUUUGUUGUUCGACACUGUUUGAUUUGCGUGGUCCCAAAAUUUUUUUAAAACUAUAUAAAGGUUUUUUUUCAGUGUAAAGGAAGCAUAAAAAAGUGAAACUCAAUUGGUAGGGGAAUUUUUAAAUCAAUCAUUGUUGCUUUUUCUUCCUCAGUUUCCUUAAACCAAAUAAAAAAUGAAAGGAGGAAAAGAAAAAAAAAAGAGUGACUCGAUGUAUGUUCGAGACCAUAACGUAAGUUGUGGCAAAUUCUUUUUUCUUUUUGAAAGAAGGGAAACUUAUACACUUUAGGCCUGUUUGAAAUUGCAGUAACUUAUAAAGAAACAAUUCUGAUACAAGUAUUUUUUUUUUAAAAAAGUGAUUUUAAAUUACCAAAAACUGGACUCUUUAAAUUACGAGAAAUUAGUCAUCAAACACAUUAGGAGUACUUUUAGCAGUUAAAAACCUUUUUUGUUUUGAAAAAAAAACGCACCUCAACCCUAAAUGGCCUUAGAGGUCUUGAAGAUUGGCAAAAAGAUGAAGUGAAAAAAAUGUUAAAAUGGAUGCAAAAUGACAUGGAAUAGACCUUUAGGGGAAAACGUCACUCGAGAUGGAGCAGAAUGCCAUAUGUAACCCUCAAAGUUACAAGCUAGACAUUUCUGCUGAAAUUGAUAAAGUUUAAAAAAAAAAAAAAAAAACCGGCAUGAACAAGCAGCUGAAGACGACCAACAAGAUCAAAUGGAGUUACAAUAGCUAAGGUUCUAGCCUAAAGAAUUGGAAUAGUGUCAUCGCUGUUCUAUUUCUGCAAUAUAUUACUGUUUUAUUGGUUUUUGGUUCUUCUGUUGUUGCUUGUGAGGUUUUUAAAAGAGUUUCCCUUUCUCUUGACUGAUUUUUUGUUUCGUUAGUUUUUUUCCCGACUUGUUUUUCUUUCACUUUCCUUCCAUUUUUGCUGAAUUGAUUACUUUUCUUUUUCAUAAACGCUGUCCUAUGCAAGAAACAGCGUUCAAGUCUUUCUUGGGUUUUUUAGUUUUACGAAAAUUAAGAUAGACAACAAAAAAAGUUUACAAGCAAAUUAAAGGAUGACUUAUUUUGCUAUCCUGUCAUUUUUCUUCUCAUUCAAAUGAGUCUAUUCUUUUACUUUCCUUAAUCAACAGAACGUAGAUGUGCAAAAAUAAAACAUUUCAAGGGCUGUACUCAAAGAAACCAAAAAAUAAUAACAAAAUCGAAAAAAAGUACAAAUUUAGUUGGGGUAAAUUUGAUAAUGGUUGAUAUGAUACUAAAAUGUGCUUUUCCUGCUCUUUUGCUAGAUGCAUUUUUUUGAGUUGCGGAAAUAUAAAGACAUGCAAUAGAAGUAAAGCUGGGAUGGAAGGUGUACUUCUUAGUUUGCUUUCUACAUGGAGGCAGAUUUAUCAAGCCAAUUUAAUUGAUCGAUCACCCCAAGUGAACUUAAUUUAAUUGCAACUUAACCAGAUAUAUUAAUUGAUUAUUAAACAAAUCAGGUCGGUAAACUUCAACAUCGUAACUAUACAUCUUUUGGGACAAGCAUAUAAUGAAACACUAUCAAACAUCACACAGAUCAUACAGAUACUAACCUAAGACACUCUCAAAACUCUUACCAAAAACCUAUUUGAAUUGCAAGCAGGAAAAUAAUGGCUACAAGUUGAUGGACUCGGAACCAGAACUUUCUUUCACAUGGCAAUGUAUACGGCCACGAGAACUUAUUUGCUAAGCUAGUUAGGAGAUCGUGAUAAGGGCAGACUCGUUGGAUGGAUCUUCUUGAACAUCCUCAAGGAGAAGCAACCACCAGAAAUGGUCUUUUCUGCAGUAUGAUUAUGCUCAGCUACUUCCUGAAUACGUACGCCCUGCAUUCUUUUGAUCUUCUCUUUAUGCAGCCGUUUCAUAGCAUAUACCUCUGCCAUGCCACCAGUAGCUAUGGACAUGGUGAUGAUUUCUGAACAACUUUUGUUGACGAAGCAAGAAUCAAUAAGAGAGAAAGAAUUUGAUAUCUGUUGUGGGGAGUUGUGAGGGUUGCAACUGCUUUAUGGCUCUAUUUAUAGUCAAGAAACCGCGGUACUUUUUUGUUACGAACGGGGCCUUAGGCGACACUGACG
rnacentral:lncRNA from 1 species